UACAGAGGUCUCAAGCGUUGUUCGGAUUCAUUGGGCGUAAAGGGUGCGUAGGCGGUGAGGCAAGUCUGGUGUGAAAUCCCGGAGCUCAACUCCGGAACUGCACUGGAUACUGCUUUACUAGAGUACUGGAGAGGGAACUGGAAUUUACGGUGUAGCAGUGAAAUGCGUAGAUAUCGUAAGGAAGACCAGCGGCGAAGGCGAGUUCCUGGACAGUUACUGACGCUGAGGCACGAAGGCCAGGGGAGCAAACGGG
rnacentral:rRNA from 1 species